rfam:Firmicutes bacterium CAG:95 genomic scaffold, scf134
GCUACCGUGGCUCAGCCGGUAGAGCAGCUGAUUCGUAAUCAGCAGGUCAGGGGUUCGAAUCCCCUCGGUAGCU